UGGGGAAUAUUGCACAAUGGGCGCAGGCCUGAUGCAGCGACGCCGCGUGAGGGAUGACGGCCUUCGGGUUGUAAACCUCUUUCAGCUCCGAUGAAGCGAAAGUGACGGUAGGAGCAGAAGAAGCGCCGGCCAACUACGUGCCAGCAGCCGCGGUAAGACGUAGGGCGCGAGCGUUGUCCGGAUUUAUUGGGCGUAAAGAGCUCGUAGGCGGCUUGUCGCGUCGACUGUGAAAACCCACGGCUCAACCGUGUGGUCUGCAGUCGAUACGGGCAGGCUAGAGUUCGGUAGGGGAGACUGGAAUUCCUGGUGUAGCGGUGAAAUGCGCAGAUAUCAGGAGGAACACCGGUGGCGAAGGCGGGUCUCUGGGCCGAUACUGACGCUGAGGAGCGAAAGCGUGGGGAGCAAA
rnacentral:rRNA from 1 species